AUGGCUUUCAGGAAGUCAUAUGAUUAUUACAUCAUCUCCUUGAUCUGUUCUCCAGGUCAGAUCUUGUUUUUUUUCUUUUUCUUUUUUUCAGUCUUGAUUUUUUUUGUCUCAUAUGAUUUCUGUUCGGUCUCUUGUAGUUUUCAGGGAGUCCGUUUUUUGUUUUUUUUUUUUUUUUUUGUUUUUUUUUUUUUUUUUUUUUUUUUUUUGGGGGGGGGGGGUUCCAAGGUGGUAUUAUCCAAGGAGAGAGGUAUGGUCGCAGCUUUUCUGGUCUGAACUCUGAUCUUUAUUCAGGAAGGAAUUUUGAUCCCCUUCAACCACAAGUGCUAGUACCCUUUUUGGCCCUGGAACUGUUCCCAGGUCUUCUGCUCUCCUGUCACUAUACAUGCUAG
rnacentral:lncRNA from 1 species